AGGACGAACGCUGGCGGCGUGCUUAACACAUGCAAGUCAAGGGGGCCCAGCAAUGGGCAACCGGCGAACGGGUGCGUAACACGUGAGCAACCUACCGAACUGUGGGGGAUAGCCGGCCUAACGGCCGAGUAAUACCGCAUACGCUCUCAGAGUGGCAUUUCUUUGAGAGGAAACCUACGGGACAGAUCGGAGGGGCCCGCGGCCUAUCAGCUAGUUGGCGAGGUAACGGCUCACCAAGGCAACGACGGGUA
rnacentral:rRNA from 1 species